rnacentral:rRNA from 1 species
GAUGAACGCUGGCGGCGUGCCUAAUACAUGCAAGUCGAGCGAACGGACGAGAAGCUUGCUUCUCUGAUGUUAGCGGCGGACGGGUGAGUAACACGUGGAUAACCUACCUAUAAGACUGGGAUAACUUCGGGAAACCGUAGCUAAUACCGGAUAAUAUUUUGAACCGCAUGGUUCAAAAGUGAAAGACGGUCUUGCUGUCACUUAUAGAUGGAUCCGCGCUGCAUUAGCUAGUUGGUAAGGUAACGGCUUACCAAGGCAACGAUGCAUAGCCGACCUGAGAGGGUGAUCGGCCACACUGGAACUGAGACACGGUCCAGACUCCUACGGGAGGCAGCAGUAGGGAAUCUUCCGCAAUGGGCGAAAGCAUGACGGAGCAACGCCGCGUGAGUGAUGAAGGUCUUCGGAUCGUAAAACUCUGUUAUUAGGGAAGAACAUAUGUGUAAGUAACUGUGCACAUCUUGACGGUACCUAAUCAGAAAGCCACGGCUAACUACGU